rnacentral:rRNA from 1 species
AGUGAACGCUGGCGGUAGGCCUAACACAUGCAAGUCGAACGGCAGCACAGGAGAGCUUGCUCUCUGGGUGGCGAGUGGCGGACGGGUGAGGAAUACAUCGGAAUCUGCUCUGUCGUGGGGGAUAACGUAGGGAAACUUACGCUAAUACCGCAUACGACCUACGGGUGAAAGCAGGGGAUCUUCGGACCUUGCGCGAUUGAAUGAGCCGAUGUCGGAUUAGCUAGUUGGCGGGGUAAAGGCCCACCAAGGCGACGAUCCGUAGCUGGUCUGAGAGGAUGAUCAGCCACACUGGAACUGAGACACGGUCCAGACUCCUACGGGAGGCAGCAGUGGGGAAUAGUGGACAAUGGGCGCAAGCCUGAUCCAGCCAUACCGCGUGGGUGAAGAAGGCCUUCGGGUUGUAAAGCCCUUUUGUUGGGAGAGAAAUCCAGCUGGCUAAUACCCGGUUGGGAUGACGGUACCCAAAGAAUAAGCACCGGCUAACUUCGUGCCAGCAGCCGCAGUAA